UAGAAGUUGAUGUAUUUUCCCUUUCAGUCAUGUCUCCAUCAGACAUAACACACUUCACUCCCGGUACUCGAGCUGUCCGCAAACUAGGGCUGAGUGUUCAUCCAUCUUGUUAGUCAAUGAGCGUACAUUCCCCAUAACAAUAGAGGGAAGACAAGGCCUGUAUCUCCAACACCUCUCCAUCUUCUUGUUCCUCACUAUCGCCACAGCUCGAGUUCCUCAACUCUGUAUCCUUAACUGCAUCAGGAUCUCCUUUGGACAUGCAACUGGUCAAUUCCGGUACUAGAGGAGCUCUUCGUGUGAGUAGACUACAAUGCAGUGUUGUUUGGUGGUCAUGGUAUCCUUUCUCUUGCACAUUAUCAAAAAAACUAAACUGGUAAUCCUACUUACACAAUAAAUACGACAAGCUACAAUCUAUUGUAGUGGUGCUAAAGUAAUAAAAUACAGUCAGGUCCAUAAGUAUUUGGACAGUGACACAAUUUUUGUAAUUUUGCCUCUGUACACCAGCACAAUGGAUUUGAAAUCAAGUCAAGUCAAGUCAAGUCAAAUGGAGUUUAUUGUCAUUUCAACCAUAUACAGCCAGUUAGUACAUAGUGAAAUGAAACAACGUUUCUCCAGGACCAAGGUGCUACAUAAGACAAACACAGAACAACACAGAACUACAAGGGACUACAUAAAUUUAUACAUAAAGUGCACAAGAGCAAACAUGUGCAGACAGCACAAGACAGUAUAAUGACUACUGGGAUAGACAAUGGGCACAGUAAGUCAGAGUGCAGCGCCGACCAGUACACAGUUCUGUUUGAAAGUGAAUCUAGUGAGAAUAGUGCAGAGUACAAUCAAAUCAAAAUAUGAUUGAAGUGUAGACUUUCAGCUUUAAUUCAAGGAGUUUAACAAAAAUAUUGCAUUAAAUGUUUAGGAAUUACGGCCAUUUUUUCAGAGUUCCUCCAUUUUUACAGGCUCAAAAGUAAUUGGACAAUUGACUGAUAAGCAGUUUCAGGGCCAGUUGUGGCCUGUUUCCUCAUUCUUUCAUGACAAAUUAAGGAGAUAAAAGGUCUGGAGUUGAUUCCAAAUGUUGAAUUUGCAUUUGGUAGCUGUUCAUGGGAACUCUCACUAUGUGGUCCAAAGAAGUGUUGAUGCAAGUAAAGAAAAAGGGUCAAAGUAGGAAAAAGAGAGAGCUGCUGUGCUGUGCUGCCACUCGCUGCGGCGCCCUAUUUGAGGUCUUGUGGAGUCCGUUCCUUGACGGGUCAGAGCAGUUUUGGUGGCAAAAGGGGGGCCAUCACAAUAUAAGGCAGGUGGUUUUAAUGUUAUGGCUGAUCAGUGUGUAUAUACAGUACUGGGCAAAAGUCUUAGUCACCCUAUUUUUAGUACAAACUUAUUUUAUGACUUCUACAUUAUCUAUUCAGUACAAAAACAUUUUAGAUUUCCAACCAUUAGUUUUCCACCAAAAAAUUAAAUGCUACAGAAAAAUGUUUGUAUGCCAGUAAAGAAAGCAGCACUCUUCAGAAAAAAAAAACAUAAUGAAGGCUGCUGGGUUUUGCAUGCAAAAGUAAGACUAGUCAAAGUCUCCAGAAGAACUGUGGCUGGUUCUGCAAGAUGCUUGGUAAAUCUUACCAGCUAAUUUCCUUAUAAAUCUGCACAAAUUGUACCUGAGACUACUAAUUUUUUUAAAGCAAAGAGUCAACACACCAAAUAUUAACUUUGUUUCAUUUUUUACUGUUUACUGCACUUUAUGUUUUUUUUAAAUGUAGAAACAUUUAUUUUCAUUAUUUUUGAAUGCAUCUUUGCUCUGCAGCAUUUCUUUGCAUGUGCCAAGACUUUUGCACACACUGUCGUCCCUGAAAUUGUUUUAACCCAAAUUAAUUAAGUAAUUAAUAAUUAACAUAGGUGCACGAUUUGCAUAAUUUCGCCCAUUCUAUUGGAUUUUUUUUUUUUUGGUUGAGUCAAUUUAGCUGAGUUUAUUUUAGUCUGUUGUCAGUGGCAGCGAACUGAAAAGAUUAACAACUCCAGAGGCAGAGUGGAAUGUAACACGAGGAUGGAUGUAGCGCGUAUUUCUGAGAACCUUUUUCUGCUGAUUCUAAGCAGAUCCAAGCAAAGCUAGGCAAGAUGAUCUGGAAAUGUAAGUAUUGCAUAUUUGCUUGUGACAUAAGGGGACACUCGUUAAAACAUUACAGACUUACAUGGGAGCUAUGCAAAAGCCAUCCAUUUCCAUGCCUACAUCAGGAGUGUUUAUAUACUUUAUGUAACUUUUUGGUGGAUGUCUCAAUGACCACCAAAAGUUAAGUGUCCAUUUCAAGGCUGUAGUUUUCAAAGAAGUGUGUAUUCCACUUUCAGUGCACACAAAUGUAAGCAGCACUGAGAUCACAAUGAUAAAAUGUUUUAAACCAGAGUUAAUAGUAAGAAUAGAGAGUAAUGAGAAUGAAAAUCCCUGCUUGCACUCUGCAUGCAAAGUACAUCGUGCUUAACCAUUAGAGGACAAAAGCUCACCUAACAAUCUUUUCCUUUCUCUCCAUCUCUCUCUCUCCCUCACUCUGUCGAGCUACACACGCUACUUCUGAGAUGCCAGUGAUGCCAGUGAUCCUGACCCCUUCUGCUCCUCCUCGCUGCCUGACCCAUCCUGAUGCCCUACUUCUGGUUGGAGUUCUCAUCGGUUGAGUUCGCUCGCUGCUGCUGAGGGUGGCCCCAUAUGGACUGCCUGAAGAACUGUUUGGAUGGCUGGGGAUGGCGCCACCUGGGGGCUGUGGAGAUGGCUUGGGGAUCACAUAUGGGGAGCUGUACCGUAAUGGCUUGGGACUGCGAUUGCUGUAGUGGCUUUGGGGCUGCAGUUGCCACGAGCAGCUUCGUACUCAGGACUCCAUCAGUGGAGAGUGGAUAGAUUUUAACCAGCCGGACUUCUUGCAAAAACUGUGAUGAAUUUAUUGGUUGCGCAAUUGCACUAUUUGUCCAUAUAGUACACAAUAGAAGGGAUUUAUUUAUUAUCGCACUAUCCGUUGCACCCAGAUGAGGAUGGGUUCCCUUUUUGAGCCUGGUUCCUCUCAAGGUUUCUUCCUCAUAUCAUCUCGGGGAGUUUUUCCUUGCCACCGUCGCCACUGGCUUGCUCAUUAGGGAUAAAUUCACAGUGAUAAAUUCAAAUUAUUUACAAUAUAUUUUUGUGAAUCCAUUUAUUUCUGUAAAGCUGCUUUGUGACAAUGUCCAUUGUUAAAAGCACUAUACAAAUAAAAUUGAAUUGAACUGAA